AUGAGGCAUUUCAUAAUAACAAACUGUGAGGAAACCGCGCCAUGGAUUUAUGAACAUCUUGAGGAGCUCAGAAGAAAUAAUUCUCCUAAUCCUAAAAAGCAGCACAAGGAAGAGUUUGUUGGUUGGUUUGAGAGACGGAUCACAGAACUCCACAAUGAUGGGAAGGUCAACAAUCUUAUUUAUGCACUAGCUAAAGGACCUGAUCACCUAGCUCAGGUAUACAACCGUACAGUUCUGAAUGGAUAUUUCUUUCGGAAUUCCUAUAUAGAGCAAGACCUGAGUACCCAAAAUAGUGGCGUCAUAGUCAAGGGUGAUGCAAACACAGGAAAUAUUGAUUAUUACGGGGUGAUCAAGAAAUAUUGA
rnacentral:rRNA from 1 species